GACGAACGCUGGCGGCGUGCCUAACACAUGCAAGUCGAACGAAGUGGCGAACGGGUGAGUAACGUGUAAACAACCUGCCCUUCAGAGGGGGACAACAGUUGGAAACGACUGCUAAUACCGCAUACUGAAGGAGGGGUAUGCGUCUGAUUAGCUAGUUGGAGGGGUAACGGCCCACCAAGGCGAUGAUCAGUAGCCGGUCUGUGAGGAUGAACGGCCACAUUGGGACUUGGACACGGCCCAGACUCCUGCGGGAGGCAGCAGUGGGGAAUCUUCCACAAUGGACGAAAGUCUGACGGAGCAACGCCGCGUGGGUGGUGACGGCCUUCGGGUUGUAAAACUCUGUUAAUCGGGACGCGGUACCGGAAUAGAAAGCCACGGCUAACUACGUGCCAGCAGCCGCGGUAAUUC
rnacentral:rRNA from 1 species